rnacentral:lncRNA from 1 species
AUGGCUAUGCAACUGGGUCUGAAGAAAAUUCCAGCAUUCAGUUGAAAUCUUAUUAGUUAGUUACUUUUCAUAAUCAAAAGAUUUUCAGAUUGAGGCAGAAAUGUUACUAUUCAGCAGAUGCCACAGCAGCUGUCCAUAAAGGAAACAGCUGGUAUGAGCAAAACAAUGACCAUUGUCUUCUGGAGGUUUUUGUUUCACGUUGAAUCACUGUGGGAACCCACUGUAAUACUGGUAACAGUAAUAAGUUGCAAUAUCUUCAGGCUCCAGGCUGCUGAUGGUGAGAGUGAAAUCUGUCCCAGACCUACUGCCGCUGAACCUCGAUGGGACCCCAGAGGCCAAAUUGGUUGCACCAUAGAUAAGGAGUUUAGGAGCUUGCCCUGGUUUCUGCUGAUACCAGUUUAAGUAUUUGUUAACACUCUGACUGGCCUGACAAGAGAUGGUGACUGUGUCUCCUUCAGAUGCAGGUAAGGAUGGAGGCUGUGUCAACUGGAUGUCACAUCUGGCACCUGAAAUUGUAAAUGUAACAAUACCAUCACAGUUAUUCAUGAUAAAACAAGACCUCCCUGAAACCUCAGGCAACUCUGACCAAGUGAGCUCAGGAAAUUCCUGGUGCUGUCCUUCCUCACCUGGGACCCAGAGCAGCAAGAGGCCCAGAAACGGAGCGGAGACCCUCAUGUCCACGCUGUGUCCUGACUGGGACUGACUCCUGCACAGGAUGACAGCUGCAGCCUAUUAAGA